CCGGUUCCGGUUCACGCCCAUCCGUCGUACACCUGCGGCCGGGCGACCCGGCGACC
ncrna:Salinispora vitiensis L31-Actinobacteria ribosomal protein leader